CUUCGGCCAUAUAUGGAUGAACUUGAUCAAAAAAUUCAAUGAGGGGAGAACUUGAGCACAUGUGGUCAGCCAUAAGAUCUUACACUAAUCAGAAAUAUUUAUAUCAUUUUGAUAAGAUAAUGGUAGCAUGCAAUGAGUUUGGUCCAUGGACGAACGUCUACCAUUCUCUAUUAUGAUAGAUAUCGGAAUUUAACACUGUCAUCAAAUAUGAUUAUAUCAACAAUAACUUGGCAGAACUUUUUAACAAGUUGAAGCAGUUUAUAAAACUUGCAUGUGUAUGACAUGGUUGACCAAAUAAAGAUCAUGAUCAUGUACUUUUGAAAAUUGAUAAGAAUGAUUAAUGAUUGUCUGCAAUGGAAUAAGUUUUCUAUAAUGAUACAACAGGAGCAAAAAUGUUGCACAUUUAUUUGUUGAAAAUACUACAUUGUUGUGUGCUACAG
rnacentral:lncRNA from 1 species